rnacentral:rRNA from 1 species
UACGUAGGGUGCGAGCGUUGUCCGGAAUUAUUGGGCGUAAAGAGCUCGUAGGCGGUGUGUCGCGUCGGUCGUGAAAACUUGGGGCUUAACCCUGAGCUUGCGGUCGAUACGGGCAUCACUUGAGUUCGGCAGGGGAGACUGGAAUUCCUGGUGUAGCGGUGAAAUGCGCAGAUAUCAGGAGGAACACCGGUGGCGAAGGCGGGUCUCUGGGCCGAUACUGACGCUGAGGAGCGAAAGCCAGGGGAGCAAACGGG